rnacentral:rRNA from 1 species
UACGUAGGGCGCAAGCGUUGUCCGGAAUUAUUGGGCGUAAAGAGUUCGUAGGCGGUUUGUCGCGUCGUUUGUGAAAACCCGGGGCUCAACUUCGGGCUUGCAGGCGAUACGGGCAGACUUGAGUGUUUCAGGGGAGGCUGGAAUUCCUGGUGUAGCGGUGAAAUGCGCAGAUAUCAGGAGGAACACCGGUGGCGAAGGCGGGUCUCUGGGAAACAACUGACGCUGAGGAACGAAAGCGUGGGUAGCAAACAGG